AAACCAACAGGGAUUGCCUUAGUAGCGGCGAGUGAAGCGGCAAAAGCUCAAAUUUGAAAUCUGGCUCUUUCAGAGUCCGAGUUGUAAUUUGAAGAAGGUAUCUUUGGGUCUGGCUCUUGUCUAUGUUUCUUGGAACAGAACGUCACAGAGGGUGAGAAUCCCGUGCGAUGAGAUGAUCCAGGCCUAUGUAAAGUUCCUUCGAAGAGUCGAGUUGUUUGGGAAUGCAGCUCUAAGUGGGUGGUAAAUUCCAUCUAAAGCUAAAUAUUGGCGAGAGACCGAUAGCGAACAAGUACAGUGAUGGAAAGAUGAAAAGAACUUUGAAAAGAGAGUGAAAAAGUACGUGAAAUUGUUGAAAGGGAAGGGCUUGAGAUCAGACUUGGUAUUUUGUAUGUUACUUCUUCGGGGGUGGCCUCUACAGUUUAUCGGGCCAGCAUCAGUUUGGGCGGUAGGAGAAUUGCGUUGGAAUGUGGCACGGCUUCGGUUGUGUGUUAUAGCCUUCGUCGAUACUGCCAGCCUAGACUGAGGACUGCGGUUUAUACCUAGGAUGCUGGCAUAAUGAUCUUAAGUCGC
rnacentral:rRNA from 1 species